GCCAAGGCCCCGCGGCCUCCCGGUCCACCUUGGAGAGUCACCAUCUACCAGAGGCCGCUGAAGAGGUUCUAUUUAUACCACUGAUAUAUGGGGAUAUGCCUUUCAAAUUUUCUAGAAGGAUUUGGAUCUACUUAUGCACAUAGGCUCACUUCAAGAAAGACUCCAUAUUCUCAACUGAUGAUACUACGCAAUCCUUAACACUGACUUGGAGAUUAAAACUAGCACCCUUCAAUAGGUUCCUAACCUGGACCCUGAUGCUGUCCCCGCACACAAGCUGCAAAAAGAAGAAGACAAGGCUGCUAGUGUCU